UAAAGAUUUAUUCCAUGCUAGA
rnacentral:miRNA from 1 species